ncrna:unclassified sequences RT-14 RNA
CUCUACCACAUAGUCAGAUGCUGAUAGCCUAAGUGGCUAUCUCCCAGUACAAGGUAGGUAAAGGACUACGUUUCCGCGCCAUAGGCGAAAAACUAAAACAGCGCACACACCGAUAGUAGGAAUAUCCGAAUUCCGUGUGUGC